UACGUAGGUGGCAAGCGUUGUCCGGAUUUACUGGGCGUAAAGAGCGCGCAGGCGGUCGGCCAAGUCGAGUGUGAAAGCCCCCCGGCUCAACUGGGGAGGGUCAUUCGAUACUGGUCGACUCGAAGGCAGGAGAGGGAAGCGGAAUUCCCGGUGUAGUGGUGAAAUGCGUAGAUAUCGGGGAGGAACACCAGUGGCGAAGGCGGCUUCCUGGCCUGUUCUUGACGCUGA
rnacentral:rRNA from 1 species